rnacentral:rRNA from 1 species
CAGCCGCCGCGGUAAUACGUAGGGUGCAAGCGUUAAUCGGAAUUACUGGGCGUAAAGCGUGCGUAGGUGGUGGUUUAAGUCCGUUGUGAAAGCCCUGGGCUCAACCUGGGAAUUGCAGUGGAUACUGGGUCACUAGAGUGUGGUAGAGGAUAGUGGAAUUUCCGGUGUAGCAGUGAAAUGCGUAGAGAUCGGAAGGAACAUCUGUGGCGAAGGCGACUAUCUGGGCCAACACUGACACUGAGGCACGAAAGCGUGGGGAGCAAACAGGAUUAGAUACCCCUGUAGUCCCUGUCUCUUAUAC